rnacentral:misc_RNA from 1 species
GCUUAUCCUUACCCUGCUCAAGGUACCAUUUUCUUUUUGAGUAUACAAUUUCUUGAUUGUGCAUACAUGUUUGUGACAUUUCUUCCUUGAGAUUUUGAUGGGUUUCGCCUGAUUUGUCUUAUUGGUGAAGAAUUCUUCACUUCUCGUUUGGUUUUUCUUCCCUUCCCCCAUACACCACACAACCACCCCCCCCUCCCCCCCCGCCCUUCUCUUUCUCUCUUCUUUUCUUCUGAAAAUAAAUAAAUAAAUUAAGUGUUGUUUGUUGCUUUGGGUGGUUGAUUUUGUUGACAGGAUAUUAUCAAGGACCCCCAGU